AGCAGUAGCCGCGGUAAUACGAAGGGGGCUAGCGUUGUUCGGAUUUACUGGGCGUAAAGGGUGCGUAGGCGGAUUGUUAAGUCAGGGGUGAAAUGCCGGGGCUCAACCUCGGAACUGCCUUUGAUACUGGCGAUCUUGAGUCCGGGAGAGGUGAGUGGAACUGCGAGUGUAGAGGUGAAAUUCGUAGAUAUUCGGAAGAACACCAGUGGCGAAGGCGACUGACUGGACAAGUAUUGACGCUGAGGUGCGAAAGCGUGGGGAGCGAACAGGAUUAGAUACCCGAGUAGUCCCUGUCUCUUAUAC
rnacentral:rRNA from 1 species